rnacentral:rRNA from 1 species
GGAGGCAGCAGUGGGGAAUUUUGGACAAUGGGGGCAACCCUGAUCCAGCAAUGCCGCGUGUGUGAAGAAGGCCUUCGGGUUGUAAAGCACUUUUGUCCGGAAAGAAAGCUUUGGAGCUAAUACCUCUGGAGGAUGACGGUACCGGAAGAAUAAGCACCGGCUAACUACGUGCCAGCAGCCGCGGUAAUACGUAGGGUGCGAGCGUUAAUCGGAAUUACUGGGCGUAAAGCGUGCGCAGGCGGUGCUGUAAGACCGAUGUGAAAUCCCCGGGCUUAACCUGGGAACUGCAUUGGUGACUGCAGCGCUGGAGUAUGGCAGAGGGGGGUGGAAUUCCACGUGUAGCAGUGAAAUGCGUAGAGAUGUGGAGGAACACCGAUGGCGAAGGCAGCCCCCUGGGCCAAUACUGACGCUCAUGCACGAAAGCGUGGGGAGCAAACAGGAUUAGAUACCCUGGUAGUCCACGCCCUAAACGAUGUCAACUGGUUGUCGGGCCUUCAUUGGCUUGGUAACGUAGCUAACGCGUGAAGUUGACCGCCUGGGGAGUACGGUCGCAAGAUUAAAACUCAAAGGAAUUGACGGGGACCCGCACAAGCGGUGGAUGAUGUGGAUUAAUUCGAUGCAACGCGAAAAACCUUACCUACCCU